rnacentral:sRNA from 1 species
ACAAAGUGACUACUAAAAUUUAAAAAUAUAUACACCCAGACAAUUUCUCUACAAGAAACUGGAGUUAAAUCAAGUCUUCCACACUUUGUGCAGCAAGUUGUACUAGGGAUUGGAUACAAAUGAAACAGUUGUAAGUGAAAAAAAAAAAUUUAGGCCAUAGAACUAUGUUACCAAUUUACUUCAGGUUAUGUUUCUACUGAAACUAAUAUAACCUAGGAUGUCAGAGUUGGAGGGACUACAAGUUGUUGAUGUGCAUACCAUAUAAUUUUUGGUAAAAGAACAUGGACUAUUUCAACUACUGAGAUGUGAAACAUGUCAUACACCCAAGAAUUGAGCUCUGCAGUCAAGUGUCUAAGAAUAUGGUUGAAAGAGAGAGAUAGAGAGAGAAAGCAAGGAAUGGUAGGCCUACUAUAAAAAAAAGUAUACUAAUACCAUUAAAAAGGUAAAUCUGGAUCUAUUGUCAUUUUGCUACAUUCAAAAAAAA